CCUACGGGCGGCAGCAGUAGGGAAUCUUCCACAAUGGGCGAAAGCCUGAUGGAGCAACGCCGCGUGGGUGAAGAAGGUUUUCGGAUUGUAAAACCCUGUUGUUAGAGAAGAAAGUGCGUGAGAGUAACUGUUCACGUUUCGACGGUAUCUAACCAGAAAGCCACGGCUAACUCCGUGCCAGCAGCCGCGGUAAUACGGAGGAUGCAAGCGUUAUCCGGAUUUAUUGGGUUUAAGGGGUGCGUAGGCGGAAUAUCAAGUCAUCGGUAAAAAUUCGGGGCUCAACCCCGUCGUGCCGUUGAAACUGAUGUUCUUGAGUGGGCGAGAGGUAUGCGGAAUGCGUGGUGUAGCGGUGAAAGGCAUAGAUAUCACGCAGAACUCCGAUGGCGAAGGCAGCAUACCGGCGCCCAACUGACGCUGAGGCACGAAAGCGUGGGUAUCGAACAGGAUUAGAUACCCGGGUAGUC
rnacentral:rRNA from 1 species